AGAACCUUACCUGGUCUUGACAUCCCGGGAAUCUUGUGGAAACACGAGAGUGCCUCGCAAGAGGAGCCUGGAGACAGGUGCUGCAUGGCUGUCGUCAGCUCGUGUCGUGAGAUGUUCGGGUUAAAGUCCCGCAACGAGCGCAACCCCUAUCUUUAGUUGCCAUCAUUGAGUUGGGCACUCUAAAGAGACUGCCGGUGUCAAACCGGAGGAAGGUGGGGAUGACGUCAAGUCCUCAUGGCCUUUAUGACCAGGGCUACACACGUACUACAAUGGCCGGUACAAAGGGCAGCGACACAGCGAUGUGAAGCGAAUCCCGAAAAGCCGGUCUCAGUCCGGAUUGGAGUCUGCAACUCGACUCCAUGAAGUUGGAAUCGCUAGUAAUCGCGGAUCAGCACGCCGCGGUGAAUACGUUCCCGGGCCUU
rnacentral:rRNA from 1 species